rnacentral:rRNA from 1 species
AUUGAACGCUGGCGGCAGGCCUAACACAUGCAAGUCGAGCGGAUGAAGGGAGCUUGCUCCUGGAUUCAGCGGCGGACGGGUGAGUAAUGCCUAGGAAUCUGCCUGGUAGUGGGGGAUAACGUCCGGAAACGGGCGCUAAUACCGCAUACGUCCUGAGGGAGAAAGUGGGGGAUCUUCGGACCUCACGCUAUCAGAUGAGCCUAGGUCGGAUUAGCUAGUUGGUGGGGUAAUGGCCUACCAAGGCGACGAUCCGUAACUGGUCUGAGAGGAUGAUCAGUCACACUGGAACUGAGACACGGUCCAGACUCCUACGGGAGGCAGCAGAGGGGAAUAUUGGACAAUGGGCGAAAGCCUGAUCCAGCCAUGCCGCGUGUGUGAAGAAGGUCUUCGGAUUGAAAAGCACUUUAAGUUGGGAGGAAGGUCAGUAAGUUAAUACCUUGCUGUUUUGACGUUACCUACAGAAUAAGCACCGGCUAACUUCGUG